rnacentral:rRNA from 1 species
AACGAACGCUGGCGGCAUGCCUAACACAUGCAAGUCGAACGAGACCUUCGGGUCUAGUGGCCCCCGGGUGCGUAACGCGUGGGAACCUGCACUUAGGUUCGGAAUAACUCCCCGAAAGGGGUGCUAUUACCGGAUCAUAUCUUCGGCCCAAAGAUUUAUCGCCUUUGUAUGGGCCCGCGUUGGAUUAGCUAGUUGGUAGGGUAAAAGCCUACCAAGGCGACGAUUCAUAGCUGGUCUGAGAGGAUGAUCAGCCACACUGGGACUGAGACACGGCCCAGACUCCUACGGGAGGCAGCAGUGGGGAAUAUUGGACCAUCGGCGGAAGCCUGAUGCAGCAAGGCUGCGUGAGUGAUGAAGGCCUUAGGGUUGUAAAGCUCUUGUACCCGUGAUGAUAAUGACAGUACCGAGAGAAUAAGCUCCGGCUAACUCCGUG